AUCUCACAAAUUUCACAUCAAACCCAUAUCUUAGCCUUAGCGCUUCUAUGGGGUCUUUAGGGUCAAAUUCUCUCCCACAACUCCAGCUAUACAUGUUCUUCAAUGAGAUUUAAAAGGUUAAGCAAUAAGAUUGAUCUAAUUGCAAUCAGGUCGAUUGGUUGGUCAGCACGAAUCGACUCCUCCGAUACAUGAUCACAAAACCGCUCUUUUCAUGGAUUAAACUUCACCAUUUCUGGGGCAAUUAUUAUUGGAUCACAAUCUGUCACUAAUUCCUUUGUACCAAUCAUGUGGGACAAAAAAGUUUGCGGUACAUAGCUUGGGACUGAAAAAAUGUUGUUACUACUUCCUUAAAACUGCAGGUGACUUCUAAAAUCAUGUUUGCUUCUCUUGACAUGGCUUCUUUAGCAGGACUAAUUGGGAACAUUGAUUUCUGACCAAGAGCAGCGAAUGCUAAGCUUUUUAGGCUGAUAAUAAGACAGACUGGAGCCUCCACAUUACAUCGCCAAAGGAGUACAGUUGUUCCACGAGGCAAUUCUUCCAAGAGAAAACGACACUGUGGACUCAUCUAUUACCAUUAUGAGUCAGCCCUUACAAAACAGCUCUCUCCGAUUCACAUGUACAGGCACAACAGCAGCAAAAGAGACGCAAACAGACACUCAUUGUGAUUGCAAAAAAAGAGAGGAUGAGUUAUAUUUAUUGACACAAGAGAAAGACUGUAAUUUUUCAAGGAUUAUGGAUGAUGUCAUUCAAAAUAGAUUAUAGGUGUUAUGAUUCGCCAAGGUGUGAAAUUAUUGCUGCUGGCUUGCCAAGUGAAAAUCGGAGACGCGUUAUUUAUUAAAGUACAUGAAUUUUAGAGUUGUUACAAUACCAAGAAUACACAUGCUUCAUCAUAUAGCCUGAGUC